AUUGAACGCUGGCGGCAGGCUUAACACAUGCACGUCGAGCGAGCUGCGGACGGGUGAGUACUGUCUGGGACACUGCCUGAUGGCGGGGGAUACCUACUGGAAACGGUAGCUAAUCCCGCAUCCCCUCAUAUGUCCCCAGCUGGGCUUAGCUAGUCGGUGGGGUAAUGGGUCCCCUAGGCGACGAUCCCUAGCUGGUCUGAGAGGAUGACCAGCCACACGGGAACUGAGACACGGUCCAGACUCCUACGGGAGGCAGCAGUGGGGAAUAUUGCACAAUGGGCGCAAGCCUGAUGCAGCCAUGCCGCGUGGGUGAAGAAGGCCGUCGGGUUGUAAAGCACUUUGAGCGAGGAGGCGUUACUCGCAGAAGAAGCACGGGCUAACUCCGUGCCAGCAGCCGCGGUAAUAC
rnacentral:rRNA from 1 species